rnacentral:rRNA from 1 species
GGUAAAUCCGGUUCACUUUAACACUGAGGCGUGACGACGAGGCACUACGGUGCUGAAGCAACAAAUGCCCUGCUUCCAGGAAAAGCCUCUAAGCAUCAGGUAACAUCAAAUCGUACCCCAAACCGACACAGGUGGUCAGGUAGAGAAUACCAAGGCGCUUGAGAGAACUCGGGUGAAGGAACUAGGCAAAAUGGUGCCGUAACUUCGGGAGAAGGCACGCUGACACGUAGGUGAAGUGAUUUACUCAUGGAGCUGAAGUCAGUCGAAGAUACCAGCUGGCUGCAACUGUUUAUUAAAAACACAGCACUGUGCAAACACGAAAGUGGACGUAUACGGUGUGACGCCUGCCCGGUGCCGGAAGGUUAAUUGAUGGGGUCAGCGCAAGCGAAGCUCCUGAUCGAAGCCCCGGUAAACGGCGGCCGUAACUAUAACGGUCCUAAGGUAGCGAAAUUCCUUGUCGGGUAAGUUCCGACCUGCACGAAUGGCGUAAUGAUGGCCAGGCUGUCUCCACCCGAGACUCAGUGAAAUUGAACUCGCUGUGAAGAUGCAGUGUACCCGCGGCAAGACGGAAAGACCCCGUGAACCUUUACUAUAGCUUGACACUGAACAUUGAGCCUUGAUGUGUAGGAUAGGUGGGAGGCUUUGAAGUGUGGACGCCAGUCUGCAUGGAGCCGACCUUGAAAUACCACCCUUUAAUGUUUGAUGUUCUAACGUGGACCCGUUACCCGGGUUGCGGACAGUGUCUGGUGGGUAGUUUGACUGGGGCGGUCUCCUCCUAAAGAGUAACGGAGGAGCACGAAGGUUGGCUAAUCCUGGUCGGACAUCAGGAGGUUAGUGCAAUGGCAUAAGCCAGCUUGACUGCGAGCGUGACGGCGCGAGCAGGUGCGAAAGCAGGUCAUAGUGAUCCGGUGGUUCUGAAUGGAAGGGCCAUCGCUCAACGGAUAAAAGGUACUCCGGGGAUAACAGGCUGAUACCGCCCAAGAGUUCAUAUCGACGGCGGUGUUUGGCACCUCGAUGUCGGCUCAUCACAUCCUGGGGCUGAAGUAGGUCCCAAGGGUAUGGCUGUUCGCCAUUUAAAGUGGUACGCGAGCUGGGUUUAGAACGUCGUGAGACAGUUCGGUCCCUAUCUGCCGUGGGCGCUGGAGAACUGAGGGGGGCUGCUCCUAGUACGAGAGGACCGGAGUGGACGCAUCACUGGUGUUCGGGUUGUCAUGCCAAUGGCACUGCCCGGUAGCUAAAUGCGGAAGAGAUAAGUGCUGAAAGCAUCUAAGCACGAAACUUGCCCCGAGAUGAGUUCUCCCUGAGACUUAAAGUCUCCUGAAGGAACGUUGAAGACGACGACGUUGAUAG